rnacentral:lncRNA from 1 species
AGACUCCUGGCCCGGGUGUGUUUGUUUUGGGCUGUGAUACUCACCAUCCUGUUCUUGAGCCCCAGAGAGACUCGGCUGAACCAGGUUGUAAAAGAAAGCAGGCUGAACAACACAUGGGGAAGAAGACACUAAGAAACACUCUUCCAUGGCAUCUGCAAGAGUUCCUGCCUCUACAUCCCUGCCUUGAGUCCUUGCCCUAACUUAUCUGGAUAACGGACUACAAGUUGUAAGAAGAAAUAAACCUUCCCC